CUCAUAAUGCAGGACUACAAGUAUACGCUUCUGGUUUUGCAAAUGAUAUAUAUUCAAGCUAUAAUUAUAACUUUGAGCCUGAAGCUGAGUACCUCACGUUCAUUGACAAUUCCCAGUUUGCUGUUGAUGGAUUUAUCACAGACUUUCCUACUACAGCAACAGAAGCCAUCGGUGAGAUUGAUAUACUUUUCAUUGUCUAUAGCCAAAGAAACCAAAUUUGAGCCAUUAGAACAAGAAGAAUACAACUGCUGCAAUCUAAACCUAGGCUCCAACUGAUUUUAAUUUUUUUUUCCCCCUAAUGGAUGCAGUGUGCUUUGCACUUACCAACCUCAACGAAACAAGGAAAGGUAAAACACUAGCUAGUCCUAUUGUUAUCUAAUUAAAGCUUAUUGUGACAUCCAUAUUAUGACAUCAAUUAAAAUUGAUAGAAAUUAAUAGAAAGUGAAGAGGAUAAAUAAUAUAAUUCUUUACUUUUUGCAGAUAGACCUUUGAUCAUAACUCAUAAUGGAGCAAGUGGGGUUUAUGCCGGCUGCACUGAUCUUGCUUAUCAGCAAGCAGUAGAUGAUGGAGCUGACAUAAUUGAUUGCACUGUCCAAAUGUCCAAGGAUGGUGUUGCUUUCUGUUUGGAAUCACCG
rnacentral:lncRNA from 1 species